rnacentral:rRNA from 1 species
UUCGCAAUGCCCGAAAGGGUGACGAAGCGACGCCGCGUGUGGGAAGAAGGCCUUCGGGUUGUAAACCACUGUCGGGAGUUAAGAAAUGCAAGGGUGAUAAUAGCGCCCUUGCUUGACUAAGGCUCCAGAGGAAGCCACGGCUAACUCUGUGCCAGCAGCCGCGGUAAUACAGAGGUGGCAAGCGUUGUUCGGAAUUAUUGGGCGUAAAGAGCACGUAGGCGGUUCUGCAAGUCGGCUGUGAAAGCCUUCCGCUCAACGGAAGAACAGCAGUUGAUACUACAGGACUAGAGUGCGGGAGGGGAGAGUGGAACUUCUGGUGGAGCGGUGAAAUGCGUAGAUAUCAGAAGGAACACCGGCGGCGAAAGCGACUCUCUGGCCCGUAACUGACGCUGAGUGUGCGAAAGCUAGGGGAGCAAACGGGAUUAGAUACCCCGGUAGUCCUAGCCGUAAACGAUGGGCACUAAGUAGAGGGGUUUU